CCUACGGGGGGCUGCAGUGGGGAAUAUUGCGCAAUGGGCGAAAGCCUGACGCAGCGACGCCGCGUGAGGGAUGAAGGUCUUCGGAUCGUAAACCUCUGUCAGCAGGGAAGAACGGUCACUGUGCUAAUCAGCAGUGAAUUGACGGUACCUGCAAAGGAAGCACCGGCUAACUCCGUGCCAGCAGCCGCGGUAAUCCGGAGGGGGCGAGCGUUAAUCGGAAUUACUGGGCGUAAAGCGCUCGUAGGCGGUAUUUCAAGUCAAGGGUGAAAUCCCCGCGCUCAACGUGGGCACUGCCUUUGAAACUGGCAGACUGGAGUGUAGGAGAGGAUAGUGGAAUUCCAGGUGUAGGAGUGAAAUGCGUAGAUAUCUGGAGGAACAUCAGUGGCGAAGGCGACUAUCUGGCCCGUAACUGACGCUGAGGAGCGAAAGCGUGGGUAGCAAACAGGAUUAGAUACCCUUGUAGUC
rnacentral:rRNA from 1 species